GAUGAACGUUGGCGGUGUGCCUAAUACAUGCAAGUCGAACGGUGAUCUUAUGGGAGCUUGCUUCCAUUUGAUUAUAGUGGCGAACGGGUGAGUAACGCGUUGGUGAUCUGCCUCGAAGUGUGGAAUAACGUUCCGAAAGGGACGCUAAUACCGCAUGUGCUCAAGAUUUUUAGAAAGUUUUGAGUAAAGGAUUUAUUCGCUUCGAGAGGAGCCUGCGUCCCAUCAGCUAGUUGGUAAGGUAACGGCUUACCAAGGCUAUGACGGGUAGGGGACCUGAGAGGGUGGCCCCCCACAAUGGAACUGAAACACGGUCCAUACACCUACGGGUGGCAGCAGUAGGGAAUAUUAGAAAUGGGCGAAAGCCUGAUCUAGCGACACCGCGUGUGCGAUGAAGGCCUUCGGGUUGUAAAGCACUUUUUGGAAGGAAUAGGAGGGAAGGUACUUCCGGAAUAAGUCUCGGCUAACUACGUGCCAGCAGCCGCCGUAAAAC
rnacentral:rRNA from 1 species